rnacentral:rRNA from 1 species
UACGAAGGGGGCUAGCGUUGUUCGGAAUUACUGGGCGUAAAGCGUGCGCAGGCGGCUUCUCAAGUCAGGUGUGAAAGCCCAGGGCUCAACCUUGGAAUUGCAUUUGAGACUGAAUAGCUAGGGUGCGGAAGAGGGAAGCGGAAUUUCCGGUGUAGCGGUGAAAUGCGUAGAUAUCGGAAGGAACACCAGUGGCGAAAGCGGCUUCCUGGUCCAGCACCGACGUUCAGGCACGAAAGCGUGGGGAGCAAACAGG